UGGGGAAUAUUGCACAAUGGGGGAAACCCUGAUGCAGCGACGCCGCGUGAACGAAGAAGGUAUUCGUAUCGUAAAGUUCUGUCCUAUGGGAAGAUCAUGACAGUACCAUAGAAGAAAGCUCCGGCUAAAUACGUGCCAGCAGCCGCGGUAAUACGUAUGGAGCGAGCGUUGUCCGGAAUUAUUGGGCGUAAAGGGUACGCAGGCGGUUUAAUAAGUCGAAUGUUAAAGAUCGGGGCUCAACCCCGUAAAGCAUUGGAAACUGAUAAACUUGAGUAGUGGAGAGGAAAGUGGAAUUCCUAGUGUAGUGGUGAAAUACGUAGAUAUUAGGAGGAAUACCAGUAGCGAAGGCGACUUUCUGGACACAAACUGACGCUGAGGUACGAAAGCGUGGGGAGCAAACAGG
rnacentral:rRNA from 1 species